ACUUAGCCUUUGGCAAAAUAAUUUUUGUUUUUUUCUAGGAAAAGAAAAUGACACAAACAUAAAAUGAGUGAUAGAAUAAGGACAUUAAUUGUUGUUGAAAAGUAUUGACUGCUAGUUUGAUGAGGAGGUUGUGUUCAUAUCUAUGGUCAUAUCUGGUGUGGUCUGGCUACAUGAGAUCUAGACUAUGGAGCAUGGACUAUUCCAUUGAUAAGUUAUACUUAUUCCUCAUCUACUUUCUUCUCUCUUAGACCAUGCAACAAAAAAACUAGCACCUUUGUCCUGCAUACUUAGUGUGUCCAAUUAAAUUGACAGUAUGAAUAAUUUAUUGAAUUCAU